CCCUCACGCUGCCCUCCCCAUCCUCAUCCCCCCCCAGGGGAGCCCCUCCGUGGUCCCUACACGGCCUUCAUGAAGUCACACCGCUGCUACGACCUCAUCCCCACCAGCUCCAAACUCGUCGUCUUCGACACCUCCCUGCAGGUGAAGAAGGCUUUCUUUGCACUGGUCACCAAUGGUGUGCGGGCAGCUCCGCUGUGGGACAGCAAAAAGCAGAGCUUUGUGGGCAUGCUGACCAUCACCGACUUCAUCAACAUCCUGCACCGCUACUA